ensembl:lncRNA
GUCUGCCUCUCCCCACCGCAGGGAAAAGGGUAACACCACCUGGGUCUGGGUGCAAUUCCCCCCUCCAGGGGCAAGGGUACCUAGACCCGGUUUGUAGAGUACGCUUGGGGAGUGUGAUUGUGUGUACAGCGUCUCUUUAUGUCUGUCUCCACGUUGGUUGAGUGUGGAGUGAGUGCAUAUGAGAGCAUGAGGGUGGGAAUGGAUGUUUGUGUCUGUGUGUGCCUGUAUGUCUGUGUCUAUAUGUCAGGUUGGGUAUCAGACGCCACCUCUCUGGGGACACCUCAGGCCCUCCAAGGUUUGGAGGCCUAUCUCCACCCACCACCACUUCCCCUGCCGGUGGCGGACUCCCUCAGGUGUCGGUGUGUUGGUGGUUCUUUGUGUCUGGGGGUGGGCGUCCGGGUACACACCGGCUCACUCCUUGGCGGCCGCUUGUCGGGGCCUGGGGCCUGGGGCUCGCUCGGGCCCCUUUGGAGGUGGGGUGCCCCCGGCCUCUCGGCCUAGGGCUCGGUCACUCAGGCGCAGCUGGGGGCCGGCGGAGCUCACGGGCGCGUCACUGCAACCCCCCCUGGCUUCUGCUCCGCGGCUGCUGAGUGAGCCCUCAUCUGGGACUCUCCUCAGCUCUUACUGGAACAGUGGCGCGGCUGCCCCUCUGUUGGUCUUCCAUGGUCUCUUGUGUUCUGGGGGCCUCUGGAUGUCUGGAGUUUUGAUCUCCUCCAUACCCGCUUCACACCCUGGAGGAUGGGGCUGUGGCCCCCCCACACUCCCUAGCAGAUCAUUACAUGGAGAAACCUUUGGAAUGCAAGCAUGCUGAUCCACACAGGUAUGCACACAUGGGUAUUCACAGACGCGGACUAAAGCUUUCUUGGCUGCUGCCUCAAAGCACACUGUGCGCUGUCUAUCUUGCGUGCUGCACAAUAUCGUUUAUUACUUAGUAAAUACUGAUAUCUAUGACUAGCUAGUUUAUUGUGAUGGUGCUUUGUUUUCUCUAUUAUUAUGUUGCUCUUUGUUGUUUGCUGUCUCCUCUGUUUGUUUGUUUGUUUGUUUGUUUGUUUUUUCUCCAUACAGGUGACCCAGGAGUUUUUUUUUUUUUUUUGUCUCUCUUCCCCCCCCUUCUCACCGUCUCUUCUCCCCUUGGGUUUUCUUUCUUUCUCUCCCCCUCUCUCUCUCAUUCAUUCCCCCUGGCCUAUUUAUUAAAAAAAAAAAAAAAAAAAAAAAAAAAAAAAAAUGACAAAGGAUGAACUGAAGCUCUGCCAUCACGUAAUGUCGCAUACUGCUGUUUCUGAUGUCAUUUAAAAAAAAAAAAAAAAAAAAAAAAAAAAAAA